rnacentral:rRNA from 1 species
AUUCACGGAGAGUUUGAUCCUGGCUCAGGACGAACGCUGGCGGCGUGCUUAACACAUGCAAGUCGAACGGUGAAGCCCUUCGGGGUGGAUCAGUGGCGAACGGGUGAGUAACACGUG